CCUUGAGUUUGAUCAUGGCUCAGGACGAACGCUGGCGGCGUGCCUCAUACCCGCAAGUCGAGCGAGGUGUAGCAAUACACCUAGCGGCGGACCGUUGAGUAACACGUGGGCAACCUGCCUCAAAGACAGGGAUAACACUCCGAAAGGAGUGCUAAUACCUGGUAAGCUCACAAGGCCCCAUGGUCUGGUGAGAAAAGGAGUAAUCCGCUUUGAGAUGGGCCCGCGUCCCAUUAGCUAGUUGGUAAGGUAAUGGCCUACCAAGGCGACGAUGGGUAGCCGACCUGAGAGGAUGAUCAGCCACACUGGAACUGAGACACGUUCCAGACUCCUACGGGAGGCAGCAGUGGGGAAUCUUGCACAAUGGAGGAAACUCUGAUGCAGCGACGCCGCGUUUUUUUUUUAGUCCUUAGGGUUGUAAAGCUCUUUCGGUGGUGACGAUGAUGACGGUAACCACAGAAGAAGCCCCGGCUAACUCCGUGCCAGCAGCCGCGGUAC
rnacentral:rRNA from 1 species